UGUAUGUUGAGUAUGUUGAGUAUGCAUGAUCAAUCGAUUCUUCAUAUGUUGGAUUCUAAAAUAGUUAUUCUUGGGUUCGCCCCCUAGGGUGGUUCACCAAUCAAUAAAAUUUUAUUAUUUCAAAUUCGAUAUCUUUAGAAAAGGAAACAAAUAUUAUAGUCAAGUUAUAUUAUGUUUUUAAAAUAAAAAGGUAAAAAAAAUAGUAGUUAUAUAAAAAAAAAUUUUAAAACUAUUUUUUUAAUAUUGUUAGCAAAACACUAAACCCGAAAUUUUAAACCCUAAACCCUUAGAUAAAUCCUAAACUCUAAAUAAAAAACACUAAAUACUAAAACACUAAACCCUAAAUCCGAAACCCUAAACUCUAAAUCCUUGAGUGUUUUAGUGUUUAGUGUUUUUGAUUUAGAGAUUAGGAUUUAUCCACGGGUUAGGGUUUACCCAUGGGUUUAGGAUUAUGGGAUUAGAAUUUAGGGUUUACUAUUUUGCUGAUGACAUUAAAAAUAUUUUUUUUUCAAUUACUAGUUUUUUUAUUUCUUUUUACCUUUUUAUUUAAAAAACAUAAUAUAACUUGAAAUAUUUUGUUUUCUUUUUUAAAAGAUAUCGAAUAUAAAAUAACACAAUCUUAUUGGUUGGUGAACCCAAGAAUAAGUCAUUCUAAAAUAUCCCGAUAAAUCUAAACAUUUUUGACUGUAUUUAUUAUCUAAUUGGUAAUAUUGUUAGAGGGACAUAGAAUCGGACUUUAAUCUCAUAUGAUACAUAAUCCUCAACCUUUAUUCUACAAUGGAAAAGUUUAUUCUACAUGACCCCAAAAUGGUAAAUUACCAUAAGGUCAUUAAUGAAUCUUUCAUCUCUACCAUUGGAUUAAAAUAAUAAGAACCACACGAUUUUUUUUCUCCCUUCCGUGGGACCCAUCCCUUUCUUCCUCUUCCUCUUCGAUCCACGACAACAACUACAAUUCAAUUCUUCUCUUCAACUCAUUACCAACCAAACUUUCUUUCAUCAUAUUUUUUUGUCUUCCAGUGGUUUGACGACAAGCAGCAGAACAUCGACAACAGCUCAUAUCUACCUCCAUAGAUGAACUUGGUUGUACAACAAAUAAUUGCUUGGCUACAACAGCGACAAAAAUGCUAGCGACAACGACUACGAAGAAACCAUCUACGAAGAAAGAAGCGACGAAGAAAGCAACUGUGAGGGAAGCAGAAACGAGGGAAACGAAAACGAGGGAAGUGAUAAAUGAGUUUUGCUUAUGUGUUAUGAACAUUGCUUAUGUGUUGUGGAACUUAUUCAUGUGUUAGGGAUGCUAUUUAUGUGUUUUUAAACUUUGCAAUGGAGAAAAUUUGUAAUGUAUUGUUUCUGUCAGAUAUUACUGGUACAAUUGGUACUUCAUAUAAUACACAUUCAUGUUUAUGUGUUA